GACGAACGCUGGCGGCGUGCCUAAUACAUGCAAGUCGAACGAACCGCGACUAAGUGCUUGCACUAAGUCAAGGUGAGUGGCGAACGGGUGAGUAACACGUGGGUAACCUACCUCAUAGUGGGGGAUAACAGUCGGAAACGACUGCUAAUACCGCAUAGGACAUAGGAUCACAUGAUCCAGUGAGGAAAGGUGGCGCAAGCUAUCGCUAAGAGAUGGACCCGCGGUGCAUUAGCUAGUUGGUAGGGUAAAGGCCUACCAAGGCGAUGAUGCAUAGCCGACCUGAGAGGGUGAUCGGCCACAUUGGGACUGAGACACGGCCCAGACUCCUACGGGAGGCAGCAGUAGGGAAUCUUCCGCAAUGGACGCAAGUCUGACGGAGCAACGCCGCGUGAGUGAAGAAGGUCUUCGGAUCGUAAAGCUCUGUUGUUAGAGAAGAACAGCGCAUAGAGUAACUGCUAUGCGUGUGACGGUAUCUAACCAGAAAGCCACGGCUAACUACGUG
rnacentral:rRNA from 1 species